rfam:Salmo salar isolate Sally breed double haploid chromosome ssa28, whole genome shotgun sequence.
AAGCGAAGUUGAUGUAAGUCGCUCUGGAUAAGAGCGUCUGCUAAAUGACGGAAA